rnacentral:rRNA from 1 species
GAGACUCUGUGCGCGUGCAUAUCAAUAAGCGGAGGAAAAGAAACUAACAAGGAUUCCCUUAGUAACGGCGAGUGAAGCGGGAAGAGCUCAAAUUUGAAAUCUUCAAGGUUUUACCUUGACGAAUUGUAGUUUAAAGAAGUGUUUUCUGUUGGAGUUUUGGUAAAAGUUCUUUGGAAUAGGACAUCAUAGAGGGUGAGAAUCCCGUAUUUGACCAUUAUUUCCAGCUGUGUGAUACACUUUCAAAGAGUCGGAUUGUUUGGGAAUGCAGUCCAAAAUGGGUGGUAAAUUUCAUCUAAAGCUAAAUAUUGGCGAGAGACUGAUAGCGAACAAGUACCGUGAGGGAAAGAUGAAAAGAACUUUGAAAAGAGAGUUAAACAGUACGUGAAAUUGUCAAAAGGGAAGCGUUUGACACCAGUGUUGUUUUCUCGAAAAUCAAUUAAAAAAGGCCGGAUUUUGUGUUGUAUUGACCUUAAAAGCUUUCUUCACUCUUUUCUUAUCUUUUUUAAUGCACUUUUCGUUUAACAAGUCAACAUCAGUUUCUUUUGUUGUAAAAAGGUCAUUGGAAGGUGGCUUUCUUUUCGGAGAAAGUGUUUAUAGCCUUUGAUCCCUGCAAUCGGAGAGACUGAGGUCUGCAGCGUAGAUCCUUCGGGGUUAGAUACAUUUGUGCUAAGUUAUAGCUUUUUAUAGACAACUUGUUGACUAUAUUUAGUCUUGUAGCUUACUCGCUUAUGCUAUUUUACCUACGCUUAGGAUGUUGAUCUGUAGUGCGUGCGC